GAUGAAGAACGUAGCGAAAUGCGAUACUUGGUGUGAAUUGCAGAAUCCCGUGAACCAUCGAGUCUUUGAACGCAAGUUGCGCCUCAAGCCAUUAGGUUGAGGGCACGUCUGCCUGGGCGUCACAUAUCGUUGCCUGAUGCCAGUUUCCUCGUGAUGGGUGACUGUGCAGGGCGAAUGAUGGCUUCCCGUGAGCAUUGUUGCCUCAUGGUUGGUUGAAAAUUGAGUCCUUGGUAGGGAGCGCCGUGAUAGAUGGUGGUUGAGUGACGAACGAGACCCAAUCAUGUGAGACCCCUACCGAAUUUGGCCUUCAUGACCCACAUGCGUCUUUGGAACGCUCAUGACGAGACCUCAGGUCAGGCGGGCUACCCGCUGAGUUUAAGCAUAUCAAUAAGCGGAGGA
rnacentral:misc_RNA from 1 species